GCGAUAGCAUAGAGGCAAAAGGGUGAGAGCCAAGAGCAAAACCCUCGCCGCCGACCGCACCGCACACCAAUCCCUAAUCCUCGCGGCCGCGGCCGCGGGCACGCCCCCAGCCCGCUGCCGUCUCCGCCACCGGCCCGUGUUCGCUGGGUGAGGCGAGGAAGGCGGAGGCGACGCCAUCAUUCUCCCCUCCGGCGGCCACCUUCUUGCUCUUCGGGUUCGGUUCUUGCCUUCUUGGUGCUCGGCUCCCCUCCGGCGGCCACCUUCUUGCUGGGACAUAUCUCCGCACUCACAUUUCUGUUAGUACUAAAUUAUCAGAUGAUGGCAGUGCGCAGCCUAAGGUUGCUGGGAGAGCCCCACAUGGCCAAAGUCAGCAUUAAGCAUUUGCUAAGGUUCAGGGGUAUGUCAACUGCUGAUAAUUUAGCCAUGCAACUUAAGAGCUAUCCCAGACAUGUACGCAAGCUGCCACGGUGGAUAAGGGAGGCUCAAGAACCUCGAGUUCACACAAGAGAUGACAUUUUUGAACAUGUAAUGAAAAUGUCAAGUGAAUUCAAGCUCCUUUGUUCAGAAAGCAUGCAGAUACAAAUCUUUGAGGAGGAGAUAAAGCCUUUCUUGGUUUCGAGGUGCCUUCUCUGUCCAGUGCCCAUGGGAAGCCGUUUGUUUAAAGAGAUGCACCAAAUGAUUCAUGGAACUACUCACCAAUUUCCUCACUAUCUAACAUCGAAGACUUUGAUGAGAAUUCUUAUGACUCGCAGUCGCAUGGAUUGGAGAGCCAUCCUUGAGUGCUUGGUCAGCCAAAGGGUCAUGGUGAUGUUGGAUUGGGUAAACGAGCUGUCAAUUGCUGAAGUACUUUUCUAUGACCAUGGGUUACUGUUGGCACCGCAGUCUGGAGCAUUACACGAUCAGACUGUGUACAAGGGUGAAUGUGAUGCUUGUUAUCACAAGCCAUUGAAAUCUGACAGCACCACAAAGGGUGAAGCAACAGUGGCUUCAGUUAUUUGGAAAACCACUGGUUCCUCCGCUGAUCUAUUGGAAUGCCAAGUCAUAAAGGGUUUAUCUUGCAAUAGCUCGGAACAUGCUGAGGCUAUUGGACUACUUGGUCUCCUUACAAGAGGAAAAGAGCUUGGGAUUAAGAAGUUUGAUGUCGUUACUGACAAUGAGGGUAUAUGCAACAUUAUGAUGGGGAAACGGGAUGUCUGUUCCAGCAAAAAUGCAGACACCUGCAUGGCGGCUAUUCAAACUGCGAAAUAUUAUGAGACUUUGAAGUGUAGGUGGGAACCACGGGAAAUGAUUGAUCAUGUUAAUGAUAUUGCCAGAGCAGUACACAUGUCAAACACUGAUGAUUUGCAAUUGACAGUCAUAUUGGAGUCGAAAUCAUCACAAUUUUGGGGCAAGCCAUUCCUCCGUGUCAAGCAAGGUCGUAAGGAGACAGAAGACCGCUUAGGAAAGUGGAAGAUCAACCAGCCUCCUGCUUUUGCUACCAAUGAGUAUUACAUGAAGGUCCAGAGCAAGUUGGAGAAAACUGAUUCUUUUGAAGGACUUUUGGAUGUAAUUGAUUCUGAUCUGAUUCUUGUCCUCGCUUCUGAUGUGUCAGCACAAGAGGUUUUAACCACAUUAGGGGCAGAUUACUGUCUCUCUAUUUGGGAAUCUGGAGCCCUAGUUCACGAGACUCUUGGCACUACUGACCGCAGAGCACAUCUGCUAAUCAAUCACAAUAGUGUUAUUCCAUUGUUUGCGGCGAGCAAGUGCUUAAUGAUUGUGUAUGACAACCCACCGCAUUCAAUCCAGUACCACCCCGAUCAAGAUGUUGCAGGUGUUAAGUGUGUGCACAUUGUUGAACCUGGAAAUAAGUCACAUUCAAAUUCAAUUCCCUGUUCAGCACAAGAGGUUGAUCCCUUCUUAUAUGGGUUUUUCCAACAAUCUGGAAACUAAUGCAUGCAAAAUUCUGCAGGCAACAAUGGUGCAGGAGGUUCCAAGGGUGUUGGGGGAAGAGAGGAAAGUUGAGCUCUACUCAGUGGAAUGCCGAUUGGAAGAGCACUACCGGACGAUGAAAGUUCUCUGCCUUGUUCUAUACUUUCUAUAAAUUGGCUUCCCUGUGGUGAAGGGAUGGUUUUGGGAGAGUUGUUCUUAAGUAUAGUUUCAUUAAUGACCUAUGUUAGAUGCAGAUACGGGUAGGAAAAUUUUGCAGUUUCGACUACUAAAUUUGACAAGUCUAUGUAAACGAUUAACGCUGUUAGAACUCAUGAUGCAUUGAUUACAGUCUCAUUGACAUUUCACCUGAUUUUGUAUUCUAGCGUUCUAGCGCAAAGUAUUUUGGUCCUCCGAUUAUGUCGAGACUUGAUGAAUAUCAGUUUUGUGAUGGCAGGUUCUGUGCAAAUAUUAUGCUGCUGGAGUAUUUAUUACUUAACUGCAGUGCUAUCUCU